CCCUGACCCCAUGCCGAACUCAGAAGUGAAACGCUGUAGCGCCGAUGGUAGUGUGGGGUCUCCCCAUGCGAGAGUAGGGAACUGCCAGGC
rnacentral:rRNA from 1 species